rnacentral:lncRNA from 1 species
UUUUAAGUUCAAAGCCUACUUACUUUAUAUUUCUAAUUAAAUUUAAUUUUUUUUAAAAAUAAACGAAACAGAUGGCAUAUUAUCUUUCUCUAAUAUAUAUAUAUAUAUAUAUAUAUCACGGCUAUGGCUACUAUACUCAUAUGAGUAUAUAUAGAGCCCCUUAUACUCAUAAUUUUUUAACCGUUCAGAUAAAAAAUGUGUGGUUAGGAUGAGAGUGAUUAUAGUAGGUUGAUAGUGGGCCCCUAGAGUUGAGUGGAUGGUUGGUUGAAUAGUAUGAUCUAGCGAGUGAAAAUGAUUAAAGGGUAGAUCAAACGACAAAAAAUUUAUAAGUAUAAGAGACUCUAUACUUAUAAAAGUAUAGUAGCCGAACUCUAUAUAUCACUAAGAUCUACAGUAAAUUU